rnacentral:rRNA from 1 species
UAUGCAGGCGGAUCGUUAAGUCGGGGGUGAAAUCCCGAGGCUCAACCUCGGAACUGCCUUCGAUACUGGCGAUCUUCGAGUCCGGGAGAGGUGAGUGGAACUCCGAGUGUAGAGGUGAAAUUCGUAGAUAUUCGGAAGAACACCAGUGGCGAAGGCGGCUCACUGGCCCGGUACUGACGCUGAGAUACGAAAGCGUGGGGAGCAAACAGGAUUAGAUACCCUGGUAGUCCACGCUGUAAACGAUGGGUGCUAGCCGUUGGGCAGCAUGCUGUUCGGUGGCGCAGCUAACGCAUUAAGCACCCCGCCUGGGGAGUACGAUCGCAAGAUUAAA